rnacentral:rRNA from 1 species
GAUGAACGCUGGCGGCGUGCUUAACACAUGCAAGUCGAACGAUUAAAGCCCCUUCGGGGGUGUAUAGAGUGGCGAACGGGUGAGUAACACGUGGGUAACCUGCCCUAUGCUUUGGGAUAACUCAUGGAAACGUGAGCUAAUACCGAAUACUCCGGACUGAUCGCAUGGUCGGUCCGGGAAAGUUCCGGCGGCAUAGGAUGGACCCGCGGCCCAUUAGCUUGUUGGUGAGGUAACGGCUCACCAAGGCGACGAUGGGUAGCCGAGCUGAGAGGCUGAUCGGCCACACUGGGACUGAGACACGGCCCAGACUCCUACGGGAGGCAGCAGUGGAGAAUUUUGCGCAAUGGGCGAAAGCCUGACGCAGCAACGCCGCGUGCGGGAUGAAGGCCUUCGGGUUGUAAACCGCUUUCAGCAGGGAUGAAACUGACAGUACCUGCAGAAGAAGCCCCGGCUAACUACGUGCCAGCAGCCGCAGUAAAAC